AUACGUAGGUGACAAGCGUUAUCCGGAUUUACUGGGCGUAAAGGGCGUGUAGGCGGUCUUGCAAGUCAGAAGUGAAAUUCCUGAGCUCAACUCGGGCGCUGCUUCUGAAACUGCAGGACUUGAGUGCUGGAGGGGAUAGCGGAAUUCCUAGUGGAGCGGUAAAAUGCGCAGAUAUUAGGAAGAACACCGGUGGCGAAGGCGGCAAGCUGGACGGUAACUGACGCUGAGGCGCGAAAGCGUGGGGAGCAAACAGGAUUAAAUACCGUGUGAGGCCACGCCGUAAACGACGAAUACUAGGUGUAGGGGGUAUCGACUCCCUCUGUGCCGCAGUUAACACAAUAAGUAUUCCGCAUGGGGAGUCCGGCCGCAAGGUUGAAACUCAAAGGAAUUGACGGGG
rnacentral:rRNA from 1 species